GUCUACGGCCAUACCACCCUGAACGCGCCCGAUCUCGUCUGAUCUCGGAAGCUAAGCAGGGUCGGGCCUGGUUAGUAUUUGGAUGGGAGAAUAGUAUCUUCCUCAUAGGUUGUUAGCUUUAAGUG
ensembl:rRNA 5S_rRNA 5S ribosomal RNA